UAGGGAAUCUUCUACAAUGGACGCAAGUCUGAUGGAGCAACGCCGCGUGAGUGAAGAAGGUCUUCGGAUCGUAAAACUCUGUUGUUAGAGAAGAACACGAGUGAGAGUAACUGUUCAUUCGAUGACGGUAUCUAACCAGCAAGUCACGGCUAACUACGUGCCAG
rnacentral:rRNA from 1 species